rnacentral:siRNA from 1 species
UCCUCUACCUCAGCAGCCGUCUCC